rnacentral:tRNA from 2 species
GGGCCUGUAGCUCAGCGGCAGAGCAAGGGGCUCAUAACCUCAAGGUCGUAGGUUCGAAUCCUACCAGGCCCACCA